UCAUAUGCUUGCAAUAAUAAUAUGCAACAUUACGAUCAAUUUUAAGAGCAUUUUUCUGAGGAGUUACAAGAAUCGAAUUCCCAAGUUCAUUGUUUUCCUCCAAAAAAUAAACUUCACCAGCUCUAUUUCAUUUUCAUCAAACUUGUAACCUAAUAUCGUGUUAAACUUAAUCUUGUAUGGAUCAGGAACAAUGCCACUGAAACUCAUUGCAGAAGAAAGAGGUAAGGCAUGGAGGAGUUUUCUUAUUCUCACUUACAAAAGGGGAAAAAAAGGAAAAUGAAAGAAAGAGAAAUUGGUUCAGGGAGAGGAAAAAGAGAGAAUAACAAAGAGAGAAAAGGACAUGGCGGAUCUGGUGCAUGCGAUAGAUGACAUGCAACGAUUAGAUCUAUGUGUCAGACAGUCAUGUAAAUGCAAAGAACGAAGAGUCGAGGCGCACGACAAUAAAAGAUGGGGAUCUACAGCAUAUUUUUCUAAAGAAGUAGAACUCACGGUGGUGGCGAUUAGGUGCAAUUUUAUGAUUUGUGGUGCAUCCUCCGCACGAUUUCAUCAAAUAUGUGCUGAGUUUGGGUGUGCACUCAUUCUGUGAUGAUUUUGUGAUGGUCGUGACUAGGCACGAUUUUAUUAUUUGUGAUGCAUCCUUGGCACAAUUUCAUCAA
rnacentral:lncRNA from 1 species